rnacentral:rRNA from 1 species
UACGAAGGGGGCUAGCGUUGCUCGGAAUCACUGGGCGUAAAGCGCACGUAGGCGGGUCUUUAAGUCAGGGGUGAAAUCCCGAGGCUCAACCUCGGAACUGCCUUCGAUACUGCGGGUCUCGAGUCCGGGAGAGGUGAGUGGAAUUCCUAGUGUAGAGGUGAAAUUCGUAGAUAUUAGGAAGAACACCAGUGGCGAAGGCGGCUCACUGGCCCGGUACUGACGCUGAGGCGCGAAAGCGUGGGGAGCAAACAGG